CCUAACACAUGCAAGUCGAACGGUAACAGGAAGAAGCUUGCUUCUUUGCUGACGAGUGGCGGACGGGUGAGUAAUGUCUGGGAAGCUGCCUGAUGGAGGGGGAUAACUACUGGAAACGGUAGCUAAUACCGCAUAAUGUCGCAAGACCAAAGAGGGGGACCUUCGGGCCUCUUGCCAUCGGAUGUGCCCAGAUGGGAUUAGCUUGUUGGUGGGGUAACGGCUCACCAAGGCGACGAUCCCUAGCUGGUCUGAGAGGAUGACCAGCCACACUGGAACUGAGACACGGUCCAGACUCCUACGGGAGGCAGCAGUGGGGAAUAUUGCACAAUGGGCGCAAGCCUGAUGCAGCCAUGCCGCGUGUAUGAAGAAGGCCUUCGGGUUGUAAAUA
rnacentral:rRNA from 1 species